rnacentral:lncRNA from 1 species
GGGGGUUUGAAAGUGUUUGAGAAUGCAAUGACGAAUUUAAAAAUAAAAAUUAAACACAACCGAAUUUAAUCUAAAACAUUAAAAGGCAUGAAAAUAUUAAAUUGAACAAUGCAACUAAAUAUCUCAACACAAUUAAAACUAAUAAAAUGCUACACUAAAUUAAAAAGAGAUGAAAAUCAAUUAAACAUGUAAAAUAUUCUACCAUUUCAUGUGACCAAGUGCUUUUACCAAAAGAGAAUUAAAUUUGCAAAGUUCCUAAAAAUUAGGCCUUGACCGAAACCUCCUAUUUGUUGGGCUUCCACGUGUUGGCUUCAAAGAAAAAUGAAAAUUGGGAAAGGGUUUCUCAUCCAGCCGUGACCUUAUCUUCAAUUGGGAAUAGGAAUUCAUUACUCCAUAUACUAACACGUCUCUGCAUCCACUUCACCAAGGUUAAUUUAAAAUGUUUCCUAUUUUAGGACAAUGCUCCACGCCCAUGUACACCAUGCUGGAUGGUAAUAUUAACCCAAAUCUUCAAUCACCAGACCCCACCACUUUGCUAAAUAAAUUUAGAUGCAAAGCUACUGCACCUACGUUUCCCAUCUCAUCCUGAGACAUUAAAGAAAGAAAAUCAGUCUUGCUCUCCUAUGCUAGAUGCGUUUUCAUUAAAUAAUGGACUCAAUAGAAAAAUUGUUCCAGCCAUGGCCAUAUAAUUCGGUCAGCAACGUCCCAUCAUUCAUGUGCCUCCAAGAAUAUUCAUGCUAAAAUUAAAUGCCUCCCCUGCACCGUACAGCAACCUACCCACCGGACCCCACCAUUUCAUUCAAUGUAAUAAGAAAAAGUUGAGAUAGGCAUCUGCACAGUGAAGAUAGAAGAAACCUUGCCUUUAAACCAAAAGAAAUUGAAAGUAAUCCACCCAAAAUGAAAUGACUGUGCCUCUUGAUGUGACCAUGGUUUUACUUUCUUUUAAAUCCCAAGAGAAUCAAGUGCUUCAAGGCAAGAGAAAUGUGUCCAG